rnacentral:rRNA from 1 species
AACGCACCUUGCGCUACUUGGUAUUCCGAGGAGCAUGCCUGUUUGAGUGUCAUGGAAUUCUCAACUCUAUUUGCUUUUGUGAAUAGAGCUUGGACUUGGAGGUUUAUUGCCGGUACCUGUGAUCGGCUCCUCUUGAAUGCAUUAGCUCGAACCUUUUGUGGAUCGGCUACUCGGUGUGAUAAUUGUCUACGCCGUGUGCUGUGAAGCUUUCAAACACUUUGUCGUGUUGAGGGAUUUGCUUCUAAUCGUCCUCCAAUGGACAAUUUUUGACCUCUGACCUCAAAUCAGGUAGGAUUACCCGCUGAACUUAA